rnacentral:misc_RNA from 1 species
GAUGAAGAACGCAGCGAAAUGCGAUAAGUAAUGUGAAUUGCAGAAUUCAGUGAAUCAUCGAAUCUUUGAACGCACAUUGCGCCCGCCAGUAUUCUGGCGGACAUGCCUGUUCGAGCGUCAUUUCAACCAUCAAGCCCUGCUUGCGUUGGGGUCCUGCGGCUGCCCGCAGGCCCUGAAAACCAGUGGCGGGCUCGCUAGUCACACCGAGCGCAGUAAUACAUCUCGCUUUGGGCGUGCGGCGGGUUCUUGCCGUUAAACACCCCCUUUUUACCAAGGUUGACCUCGGAUCAGGUAGGAAUACCCGCUGAACUUAAGCAUAUCAAUAAGCGGAGGA